rnacentral:tRNA from 1 species
GUAAAAUAAGCUAAAUCAAGCUUUUGGGCCCAUACCCCGAACAUGUUGGUGAAAACCCUUCUUUUACUA